rnacentral:rRNA from 1 species
AUUGAACGCUGGCGGCAGGCUUAACACAUGCAAGUCGAGCGGGGUGAUGGUGCUUGCACUAUCACUUAGCGGCGGACGGGUGAGUAAUGCUUAGGAAUCUGCCUAUUAGUGGGGGACAACAUUCCGAAAGGAAUGCUAAUACCGCAUACGCCCUACGGGGGAAAGCAGGGGAUCUUCUGACCUUGCGCUAAUAGAUGAGCCUAAGUCGGAUUAGCUAGUUGGUGGGGUAAAGGCCUACCAAGGCGACGAUCUGUAGCGGGUCUGAGAGGAUGAUCCGCCACACUGGGACUGAGACACGGCCCAGACUCCUACGGGAGGCAGCAGUGGGGAAUAUUGGACAAUGGGCGGAAGCCUGAUCCAGCCAUGCCGCGUGUGUGAAGAAGGCCUUUUGGUUGUAAAGCACUUUAAGCGAGGAGGAGGCUACUUAGAUUAAUACUCUAGGAUAGUGGACGUUACUCGCAGAAUAAGCACCGGCUAACUCUGUGCCAGCCGCCGCCGUAACAC